GUUGCCAUAGAAUAGCCCUCGCCCUGGGCCCCUUUAAGGUAACAAAGAAUCUGUCCCAAAGCAUCCCACUAGGCAACAGUAGGAGAUGACAUAAACUGACUUACCACACUCACUGAAUAUGCAAUAUCAGGACGAGUCACCGUCAAAUAAUUCAACUUGCCAACUAAUCUUCUAUACCUUUCAGGAUCUGCAAAUGGCUCACUGUCUUCUGUGGUAAGUUGAAGGUUAGGGGUCAUUGGGGCACUACAAGGCUUAGCAUCCAAUUUUCCUGUUUCUGCUAACAAAUCAAGAACAUAUUUUCUUUGAGACAAGAAGAUGCCUUUCUUACACCGCAUAACUUCGAUUCCCAAGAAAUAUUUCAAUGAACCCAAAUCCUUUGUAUGAAACUGUGUUUUAAGAAAUUCUUUUAGGGAUGUGAUGCCAGCAAUAUCACUUCCUGUGAUAACGAUAUCAUCCACAUAUACUACAAGUAGAAUUACUCCACUAUCAGAAUUUCUAUAAAACACCGAGUGAUCACACUUCCUCAUUUUCAUUCCAAACUGUUGGACCACCUCACUAAACCUGCCAAACCAUGCCCGAGGACUCUGUUUCAAGCCAUAAAGGGAUUUUCGAAGUCUACAAACCUUGCCUGACUCCCCCUGAGCAACAAAACCAGGUGGUUGCUCAAUAUAAACCUCCUCCAGAAGAUCACCAUGAAGAAAAGCAUUUUUAAUAUCUAGUUGAUGCAAAGGCCAAUCAUGUGUAGCUGCCAAGGAAAUAAACAAUCGAACAGAUGCGAGCUUGGCAACCGGGAAAAAUGUAUCAAAAUAGUCAACUCCAUAAGUUUGUGCAUAACCUUUGGCCACUAAACGGGCCUUGAGGCGAGCAACAGAUCCAUCAGGAUUUACUUUUACUGCAAACACCCAUUUGCACCCAAUAGCCCGCUUUCCUAGGGGCAAGGACAUCAACUCCCAAGUACCAUUAGUGUUAAGGGCCAUCAUUUCCUCUUCCAUUGCAACACGCCAACCAGGAUGGGACAAAGCCUCAAUAACAGUUUUGGGAACUGAAAUAGAAUCUAAAGCAGUGGCAAAACAACGAGAAGAAGAGGAUAAUUGAUCAUAAGAGACACAAGCUGAAAUAGGAUAAGUGCAAGUACGUUUACCUUUACGAAGAGCAAUGGGCAAAUCCAAAUCAGACAGUGAAGGAUCAGUGUGAGCAGGAUCUGUCGACGAAGAAGCGGGUAGCGGAGCGGAGUCAGAGUCUUCUAAGCGUCUGGAAUACACAUGAAAGAUGGGAGGGCGACCUGGCACAUGAGCGAAAGGUGUAGGAGUAGUCUGAGGAGACAGAGAGCGAACAGUGUAUAACAAAAGGUCAUCUUCCUCACCUUGGGUGUUAUAAACAGAGGAUGGUGGAAAAAACGGAGUGGACUCAAAGAAUGUUACAUCUGCAGACACAAGAUACCGAUUCAGAUCAGGAGAAAAACAACGAUACCCUUUUUGACGUCGAGAGUAGCCAAGGAAAACACAUUUGAGUGAUUUGGAAUCCAAUUUAGUAACCUGUGGACGAACAUCACGAGCAAAACAAGUACACCCAAAGAUACGUGGCUCAAUAGGAAACAAAGAUUUAGUGGAAAACAAAAUAUUAUAAGGGAUAUCACCAUGAAGGAUGGAGGAAGGCAUGCGAUUAAUAAAAAAAAAAGCAGUGGAUACAACAUCAGCCCAAAAGCAUUUAGGUACUUUCAUUUUGAAUAAGAGGGCUCUGGCUACUUCAAGAAGAUGUCGAUUUUUUCUUUCGGCAACUCCAUUUUGUGAAGGAGUGUCAACACAAGAGGACUGAUGAAGAAUCCCUUUUUGUAACAAAUAAGAUUGAAAUUCCCAGAGAGAUACUCUUUAGCAUUAUCACUUUGCAAUAUACGAAUGGGAACAUUGAAUUGGGUUUGGAUUUCAGCAUAAAAUGCACAAAAGAUAGAAAAUAAUUCUGAACGACUCUUCAUUAAAAAUAACCAAGUAGUACAAGAGAAGUCAUCAACAAAAGUGACAAAGUACAUAAAGCCAGACUUAGACACAGUAGGACAAGGACCCCAAACAUCUGAAUGUACUAACUCAAAGGGGGACGAAGCCCGUUUAUUGACUUGAGAUACUGAAGGCAAACGAUGAUGUUUGGCAAAUUGACAAGACUCACAAUCUAAAACAGACAAAGAAUGAAACUGUGGAUAUAACUUCUUCAAAGCUGAGAGAGAAGGAAGCCCCAAACGACAAUGAACAUCAAAAGGUGUUAAACGCGUGGAACAUGCAAGUGAUCUAGGUAGUUGCUGAUCCAAGACAUAGAGACCCUCUGACUCACGCCCUCUACUAAUAAUCUGCUUCGUCGAAAGAUCCUGAAAAAUACAGUAAUCAGGAAAGAAUGAGACACAAAAAUUCAGUACACGAGUGAGUUUACUAACAGAAAGCAAAUUAAAUGCGAAGUUAGGGAGACAUAACAUAGAGGAUACAAAAAGAGAAGGG
rnacentral:lncRNA from 1 species